rnacentral:rRNA from 1 species
GUGGGGAAUCUUCCACAAUGGACGAAAGUCUGAUGGAGCAACGCCGCGUGAGUGAAGAAGGGUUUCGGCUCGUAAAGCUCUGUUGUCGGGGACGAAUGUGCAGUAUUUGAAUAAAGUAGUGCAAUGACGGUACCUGACGAGGAAGCCACGGCUAACUACGUGCCAGCAGCCGCGGUAAUACGUAGGUGGCAAGCGUUGUCCGGAAUUAUUGGGCGUAAAGGGAGCGCAGGCGGGAAGGUAAGUCGGUCUUAAAAGUGCGGGGCUCAACCCCGUGAUGGGAUCGAAACUAUCUUUCUUGAGUGCAGGAGAGGAAAGUGGAAUUCCUAGUGUAGCGGUGAAAUGCGUAGAUAUUAGGAGGAACACCAGUGGCGAAGGCGACUUUCUGGACGAUGUCUGACGCUGAGGCGCGAAAGCUAGGGGAGCGAACGGGAUUAGAUACCCUGGUAGUCC